rnacentral:rRNA from 1 species
GGGGCCUACGGGGGGCAGCAGUGGGGAAUAUUGCACAAUGGGGGAAACCCUGAUGCAGCGACGCCGCGUGAGUGAAGAAGUAUUUCGGUAUGUAAAGCUCUGUCAGCAGGGAAGAAAAUGACGGUACCCGACCAAGAAGCCCCGGCUAACUACGUGCCAGCAGCCGCGGUAAUACGUAGGGGGCAAGCGGUAUCCGGAUUUACUGGGUGUAAAGGGAGCGUAGACGGCAGGGCAAGUCUGGAGUGAAAG